GAUGUCCCUAAAGGUGUUGUAAGUGUGAUUGCUGUAUCACCCAUGCAUCAGCAGGUGGCAGAGAAAAGAGUGCAUG
rnacentral:snoRNA from 1 species